rnacentral:rRNA from 1 species
AUUGAACGCUGGCGGCAUGCUUUACACAUGCAAGUCGAACGGCAUCGCGGGCUUCGGCCUGGCGGCGAGUGGCGAACGGGUGAGUAAUGCAUCUGAACGUGCCCAGUAGUGGGGGAUAGCCCGGCGAAAGCCGGAUUAAUACCGCAUACGACCUGAGGGUGAAAGCGGGGGACCGAAAGGCCUCGCGCUAUUGUAGCGGCCGAUGUCGGAUUAGCUAGUUGGUGGGGUAAAGGCUUACCAAGGCGACGAUCCGUAGCUGGUCUGAGAGGACGACCAGCCACACUGGGACUGAGACACGGCCCAGACUCCUACGGGAGGCAGCAGUGGGGAAUUUUGGACAAUGGGGGCAACCCUGAUCCAGCCAAGCCGCGUGCGGGAAGAAGGCCUUCGGGUUGUAAACCGCUUUUGUUCGGGAAGAAAUCAUCUGGGCUAAUACCCCGGGGGGAUGACGGUACCGGAAGAAUAAGCACCGGCUAACUACGUG